rnacentral:rRNA from 1 species
CUAGAGAUAGAGCUUUCCCCUUCGGGGGACAAAGUGACAGGUGGUGCAUGGUUGUCGUCAGCUCGUGUCGUGAGAUGUUGGGUUAAGUCCCGCAACGAGCGCAACCCUUAAGCUUAGUUGCCAUCAUUAAGUUGGGCACUCUAGGUUGACUGCCGGUGACAAACCGGAGGAAGGUGGGGAUGACGUCAAAUCAUCAUGCCCCUUAUGAUUUGGGCUACACACGUGCUACAAUGGACAAUACAAAGGGCAGCUAAACCGCGAGGUCAUGCAAAUCCCAUAAAGUUGUUCUCAGUUCGGAUUGUAGUCUGCAACUCGACUACAUGAAGCUGGAAUCGCUAGUAAUCGUAGAUCAGCAUGCUACGGUGAAUACGUUCCCGGGUCUUGUACACACCGCCCGUCACACCACGAGAGUUUGUAACACCCGAAGCCGGUGGAGUAACCAUUUAUGGAGCUAGCCGCCGAAGGUGGGACAAAUGAUUGGGGUGAAGUCGUAACAAGGUAGCCGUAUCGGAA